rnacentral:lncRNA from 1 species
GGCCGCUCGCUUUCUCGCCUCCCGCCUCGCGCCUCGAUCCUGUUCCGCCUCCCUCGGCCCUCCUGCCCGCCCCCACUCGUCGGCCCUCAGGUGCUGCCCAGUUCAUGAGUGCUGCUGCUGUCCUGCCCAAGUACCCAGCUUGCAGAGUGCCGGAGUUAGAGUCCCAGGGGUGUUCUCCACAGCUGCAUGCUUGAUCCAGGCCUAUCAGAUAUAUUCCAUUGAAAGUCCUCAUUCUCAAAUUUAAAACAAAGACUUUUUGUGUACCUCAAUAGCAAUGCACACACAGUUGGCUUCACAAACAUAUUGUACAUUCCUUUUUUUCAUAUUUAUUCAACAAAUGUAUAUUGACUACUCACCGUGUGACAGGUGUUAUUUGUUGGCGGAACCAGGCAUCAUCAGCAAACAAAACUGACAAAGCUUCCUGCCCUCUGUGGAAGGCAUCUGAGGAAGAGACUGGAUUUUGUAGCAA